rnacentral:rRNA from 1 species
CCUACGGGAGGCAGCAGUGGGGAAUUUUGGACAAUGGGCGAAAGCCUGAUCCAGCAAUGCCGCGUGUGUGAUGAAGGCCUUCGGGUUGUAAAGCACUUUUGGCGGGAACGAAAAGGACUGUGCCAAUACCACGGUUCGAUGACGGUACCCGCAGAAUAAGCACCGGCUAACUACGUGCCAGCAGCCGCGGUAAUACGUAGGGUGCAAGCGUUAAUCGGAAUUACUGGGCGUAAAGAGUGCGCAGGCGGUUUUGCAAGACCGAUGUGAAAUCCCCGGGCUUAACCUGGGAACUGCAUUGGUGACUGCAAGGCUAGAGUGUGUCAGAGGGAGGUGGAAUUCCGCAUGUAGCAGUGAAAUGCGUAGAUAUGCGGAGGAACACCGAUGGCGAAGGCAGCCUCCUGGGAUAACACUGACGCUCAUGCACGAAAGCGUGGGGAGCAAACAGGAUUAGAUACCCUGGUAGUCCACGCCCUAAACGAUGUCUACUAGUUGUCGGGGAUUAAUUUCCUUGGUAACGCAGCUAACGCGUGAAGUAGACCGCCUGGGGAGUACGGUCGCAAGAUUAAAACUCAAAGGAAUUGACGG